AGAAUAGAAUAGAAUAGAAUAGAAUAGAAAACUUUUUAUUUGCAAGAAAGGUAUACAAGCAGGUAAGACAUAGAUUAAAACAGAGAGAAAUAAACAAGUGGACAAUUAACUGCUUGUGCCCCUCUGACAAAAAGGCACCCGCUCAGCGUACAUCAAGACCGCCAGGGCUUGUCUUGAAACUGAUUUUCAGCGGGGGCCCUCUGUUGUCACGGCGUACCCCUGCUGACGGAGAUGCAAGAGGAGAAAGGAGUCCACAAGUCCGGCAGCAGGGAGAACGCAGCAGGGGGGCGCAAAAGAAAAAGAGAAAACAAACAAAAAGAAAGAAACAAGAAAGCACCAUAAAAAUUAAUUAAUAAAAAUAAAUUCAUUUCACAUUAAUUAUAAAUUACAAUAAUAAUAAAUUAAAAUUAUAAUAAAUUACAAUAAAUUUAGAUUUUAAUUAUUAAUUACAUAAUUAAAACACAUUAAAAAAAAAAAUAAUAGAUUAAAAAUACAAAUAAAUUAUCAAAAAACACCAUUCUUUACUUAUCUAUUGCCAUUGAUAUGUGGCCAUAACCAUAAGGCCUCAAGUUAUUUAAAAUCAAUGGUAGAAAAGUGAUUGAGGAAAGAAAAAAAAAAAAAGAGAUUAAAAAAAAGAAAGAACUGUCACUUACUGUCAACGACCGACAUGUGCACGAGAUGUGAGAAUAAUUGCCACGUAAAUUGAUGAAAUGUGGUACAUUUAAAGGAUAUUUCAAGAAAGCAGUGCCAAAUAAUAAAACCAAAUUAAGAGCAAUCCGCAGCACUACAAUCACACGAAAGGGAAGGUGAAUAACAUCCAGCAUUGUAACCAAUUUCGUGCAACAACUACGGAUUACUAACAUACAAUAAUGCAAUGCAAUACUAUUAUACAAAUAAAUUAAAGAAAAUUGGACAGAAGAAUACACUGAGUACCAACAGCAAAAAAUAAAUAAAUAAAAUAAACCCAUGUCAGGAAACUAAACGGAGCCAAGUGGAUGAGGACUGCACACAAGGUGCUGGAGAAAGUUAGGUGAAGCUGGAGCUGGAAGUGGACCUGCUCCCAGGCGUGUCGUGCAUACAUUUAAGGGCACGCAGAGGCGGUGGCAGGUCAUUCCAACAUUUAGAAGCAGCAAACCUGAAGGAGCCUCUAAAAGCUGCAGUACGAUGUUUAGGGGUGUUAAAGAUAUGGGUGCAUUCUCUUCUGGGAUAUCGGCUGAGCUCACGUGCCCACUCCAGCUUCAAGAAAAGGUACUUUGGCUUGGCUUUACUCAGAACACCAAACAUCAUAGUAGCAAGAUGAAGCUUCCUACGCGCAUCCAUCUUUAACAUGGCUGCAGCAUUGAGGAAUGGCGUAACAUGUGUACGAGGUGGAAUUGUGAAACAAAACCGAGCGCAGGCAUUUUGCACUCUUUGGAUAAGUUUAGCUGAUUUUGUGAAAAUACAUGGACCAUAAACAGUAUCGCAAUAGUUAAACUUGCUGAGAACCAGUGAUUCGCAAAGAGCAAUUCGAAUCUUCUCACUUAAAUAUGGUCUUAGUUUGUAUAGAAGUUUCAAACGGUAAAAACUACUUCUAGCACAAUCAAUGAUGUGAUUUUCAAAUUUCAAAUGGCAAUCCAUGGCCAAUCCCAGAUUUUUAACUUUAUCAACCCUAACAAUAGGCUGACCUACAAUAUUUAAAGUAUUAUCAUUAAAUCUGGCUAUGUUCUUGGGGGUACCCAUUACAAUAAAUUGUGAUUUUUUAGGAUUAAGAGUAAGACAAUUCAGUAAGCACCAUGUAUUUAUGUUAUUUAGGUCUUGGUUAAUUUUAUUGACAGCAAUCACUUGGUCGGCCGGGGCAAACGGUAGAUACAGUUGCAAGUCAUCAGCAUAUAAGUGAUAUUGACAAUUCUUUAUGCUGUUUACAAUGUCAGCGCUGUACAAAAUGUACAGAAUUGGGCCCAAAAUCGAACCUUGGGGCACACCACGAGAGACUGCACUCAGCUGUGAACGCAACAGAGUGCCAUCCGUCUGUUUCAGCUCAACAUAUUGACUACGCUGAGUCAAAUAACUAUGAAACCAUUUAACGGAUCUGCUAUCAAAACCAUAGUAUUUUAGUUUGGAUGAGAGAAGAGAUGUAUUGAUUGAGUCGAAUGCCCGAGAGAAAUCAAGCAAUGUCACAAUUGUUACCAUGCCACGAUCCUGUCCAGCCAGUAUGUUGUCAACCACGUCUGCCAGUGCAGUGGCCGUUCCAUAACCCUUCCGAAACCCAGACUGACAGUGUGGAAGAAUAUCACAAUCCUCAAGGUAUCGAGUGACUUGGUCGCACACUAUCCUCUCAAGGAUUUUAGAAAGACAUGGCAGGAUGCUGAUAGGCCGUAGUUCCUCUACUGAGUUAGGGUGGCUUGUUUUAGGAAUAGGUCUCACAAUCGAUAUUUUCCAACUCUCAGGGAAUGUGCUAUCUAGUAUAGACUGGUUGACCAUCGCAGUUAUGGCUUUAAGGGAGUAGGGUAAGGUUAGCCGGAGCAUGUCCAAAGAUAGGCCAUCAUGCCCCCGGGCAUUCGACUUCAUUCCUCUGAUGGUCUUAAGAACCAUCUCCUCACUGACUGUGUGCAGAGUAAAAGUAGCUGCAUUGUUAUGCCUAUGAAACUCAAAGUAGGUCAGUUGAGAAAUGGAUACUUUAUCCUCACCUGGCACUUUUUGAAAAUGUGCAUUAAUAAGAUCAGGAUUGUUAAACAUAGAGGGUAUAUCAGGUAGGUUCCCAUUAUCUGGCAGUACUGUGCGUUUCAAGUUCCUCCAAAGUUUUUUUGGGUUACCCAGGUUACUGUUGACAUGGUCAUUGAAGAAACAAGACUUCUCGCGUUCAAUCGCCCCCAGGACCAGAUGUCUCAUUGUUUUGUAACUGUCCCUGAGGCUAGCAGUUUUCAGCACCCUAUAUCGCUUGCUAUAAGCAUCCCUAACACGAAUCAUCUUUUUGAUCGUGUCUGUUAUCCAUGGAUGUGGUGGGUGCCUAAAUUUGCGCGACCUCACAGGGGCAUGGAGAUCCAUCAUUCCAAUGAUACAACCGGUAAAAGAUGUUACAAGCUCACUUACAUUACUUAGACGAAAGAGGUUGCUCCAAUCAAUCAAACUGAGGUCCCGCUCAAGGUGCUCCAACACAAUAUCCUUGUAAGGCCUAUAGGUGACCCAGAGGGGCCUCGCUUUCUCCUUUUUGAUUUUGAACUCGGCCAGAAGUAAUGCGUGACUACCCAGGUCAGGGGAGUGUCUUACAACAACCCGGUGUGCCCGCAGAUCCGUACAGAUUAAGUCUAUUAGUGUGCUGCUGUGAUCUGUAAAAUGAGUUGGCUCAGUUAUCAACUGAUUGAGGUUUAGGCCACGUAUACACUGCUCAAGAUCUCUACUUCUGCCACUAGUAGUAUCAAGCAGAUUGAUGUUAAAGUCUCCCGCAACUAUAAGCCCGUCCGCCCCGGCGAAACAAGCAACAGAUUCUGUCAGUGCCUCAAGGAACACAUCAUAAUCAAGCCAAGGAGGUCUAUAGGCCGUGCCGAUGACUAUAACCUUACUGAGUAGACGCACGGAGAUCCACAUCUGCUCCACCAAUAUUGCAGAGCAAGGAUGGGGACACACCUUUACAUUUAGACCUUUCCGUAUGUAGAACCCUACACCACCUCCCCGGCCACCCCUUAUGUGAUCUGGUCUAGGGACGUGCCUCAGUCUAUAGCCGGCCAGUUUAGGUGCCCUGUCCUCCUCGCCAGUCCUCAGCCAUGUCUCAUUAAUGGCUAUUAUGUCAGGAGACAAGUCAUCCACCGCCACAAUCAGCUCCUCAUGCUUGGUGCUCAAAGACCCAGCAUUAAAAAAACCCACCAAUAAAUUAUCUAACCCCAGGCCUGUGAGAAAUGCGAGUUAUAUAAAAACCGGAGAAUGUUAGUGGUGCAAUGAAAAUUAGACAUGUCAUAAGAUAUCAUUAGUGCAUUCAUAUUAAUAAAUUGUAAUAAAUUCGAUUUGUGAGAAAUUGAUAAGAUCAUAAUGUAAUUGCGAAUUAAUAAAAUAGAGUCAAUGUCAAUGUAUUGAUAGCAAUGUAAUGGCAGCAAUAAUAACAAUAAUAAAAUUAUACAGUUACUGUAGAACCAA